rnacentral:misc_RNA from 1 species
CAACCCUCGAGCCCCUCCGGGGGGUCGGCGUUGGGGAUCGGCCCCGUCACCGGGUGCCGCCCCCUAAAUGCAGUGGCGGUCUCGCCGCAGCCUCUCAUGCGCAGUAGUUUGCACACUCGCACCGGGAGCGCGGCGCGUCCUCGUCCGUAAAACACCCCAAACUUCUGAAA